UACGGAAGGCAGCAGUGGGGAAUAUUGCACAAUGGGCGCAAGCCUGAUGCAGCCAUGCCGCGUGUAUGAAGAAGGCCUUCGGGUUGUAAAGUACUUUCAGUCGUGAGGAAGGUGUUAAGGUUAAUAACCUUAGCAAUUGACGUUAGCGACAGAAGAAGCACCGGCUAACUCCGUGCCAGCAGCCGCGGUAAUACGGAGGGUGCGAGCGUUAAUCGGAAUUACUGGGCGUAAAGGGCACGCAGGCGGUUAAUUAAGUUGGAUGUGAAAUCCCCGGGCUUAACCUGGGAAUGGCAUUCAAGACUGGUUAGCUAGAGUCUUGUAGAGGGGGUAGAACUCCAUGUGUAGCGGUGAAAUGCGUAGAGAUGUGGAGGAAUACCGGUGGCGAAGGCGGCCCCUGGACAAAGACUGACGCUCAUGUGCGAAAGCGUGGGGAGCAAACAGGGAUUAGAUACC
rnacentral:rRNA from 1 species